rnacentral:lncRNA from 1 species
GCAGGCAAGAGUGCUGGAGGGCGGCAGCGGCGACCGGAGCGGUAGGAGCAGCAAUUUAUCCGUGUGCAGCCCCAAACUGGAAAGAAGAUGCUAAUUAAAGUGAAGACGCUGACCGGAAAGGAGAUUGAGAUUGACAUUGAACCUACAGACAAGGUGGAGCGAAUCAAGGAGCGUGUGGAGGAGAAAGAGGGAAUCCCCCCACAACAGCAGAGGCUCAUCUACAGUGGCAAGCAGAUGUGAGUUUGGAGUGAGAAUGACAGCAUGGCGAUCUUAUGUGAAGAUGAGAAGAGGAGAGGGGGCACGUACUGAGGUGGAUCAGGGGUGCCUCUUGUUUUUGGUGCCUAAGACUCUUUGGCAAUCUGGUGAAGCCUCUAAGCCCCUUCUCAGAAUAAGAUUUUUUCAGGCAUAAAACAAAAUAUAUAGAAUUAAAGGAAAACUAAUUAUAUUGAAAUAGUUAUUAAAAUACUAAAACAAAUUUGUGAUAUAGUAAUAUAUGUACUUUUUUAUUAAUGCAUAAGAUCUAAUGGUAGGUCUAAUAUGACCAUAAUUUUGAAAUAUUUUCAAGAUACCUAUAAAUGAUCAUGAUAGAAAAUAGUUAAUUGCUAUUGUUAACAAGUUACCUAUAUUGCUAAUACUACUGUGGUUUUUGGGCU